ensembl:lncRNA
UCUUAAUAACUAUUACCACACUCAGAAUAAAGAGAAGUUCUAUUACAAAAAAAAAAAAGCAUUCUGGACCACCCCAGGCCCCAGAGGACCUCGGACGCGGUGGGGUGGGGUGGGGUGGGAAGGCGAGUGGAGCCCAAACAAGCGACUGCACAUUAACACCUGGGUGACAGGCAUUCGCUCGCUCACCCAGGCUGUGCCACUGUCUGAAGCAGUGACCGAGGUGACAACGAGAUCGUGGGGAUUCGGGGUUUUCUUCUCUUUUAACGGAGAGGCCGGGCCGGCGAGCCCCGGCCGGCGCCCGGACACCUAGGGGCCUCAGGGAGGAGGGCGGCUGCCGCGGAGGCUCGCGUUCGCGAGCUUCGGAGCCCGGGACGGACGGCACCAGACAGUAGCCACGAGGGAGGCGCCCAAAGCCCCCGGGGCCAGACGGGGCCGCAGGGUCUCCUCUGGGGUCAGAGCCCCCAAGACACCCGGUCUCUCGGGGGCCAGAGACACUAAGUCCCAACCUCCUGGACUGCCAGCCUCAAGUCCACCCCUCACCGCGACGGGACUGGAGAACUGAACACGUGCACGAGCCAGCAACCCGCGAAACGCUCCGGCCUUAGCCGCCGCCACAGACACAACCCGCGCGCACACACGCUCGGACCUCGGCGCCGCAGCCACAGGUCUCGCCAGGUCACGGGAGUCGGAGCCUCACGCUCGGCCCUACCGGGCCACCGUACUCAGAGCUACAGCCUCGCGCCAAUCCCCGGCCGGCCGCCGUACUGAGAGGGACAGCUUCAAGCAGAAGCCGGCCUUUUCCGUGCAGUAACGCCCUCCCACUGCGGCCGCCGCCUAUGGUCUGGAUCGCUUUCUCCACCUGCUCUUCCCCGCUCUCACCCAGUCACCACUGCGGCGAGCGAGCAUCUUUAAGCGAGCUCUACGUGGGACAGCAUCUGUAAGCAGUGUCACUCUGGUAGACAAACCGCAUCACGGUCUUCCGAGGCCUAACGAAAAAUUGGAUUUCAACUCCCAGCAUGCCAGGAGUGCUCCAACCUGAGCUACAGCGAGGACUCAUAAUUAGGCACUUGAAAAACAUUCCGAGAUAUGUCCACUCAUUUUCUACAUUCAGAUUCAAGUAUUGAAGCAAAACAGUCUUUGGAGAGGCCUCAUUCUUGAGAGAUGUCGAGAGAAAUACUAAAUUAUUGCUCAAUGUACUCCUGGGUCGUGUUGCAGUACCGCAUAUACUAGUGGUCCAAAGGUUACCAGACAUGAUCCUGACGUGCAUAGGAAGUUACAGUAGACAAGAAGUAAAAUAAUAAUAAUAAUAAUAAUAAUAAUAGGGGCCGGGGAUUUAGCUCAGUGGCACCGCGCCUGCCUUGCAAGCGCAAGGUCCCGAGUUCGAUCCCCGGUACCAAAAUAAUAAUAAUAACAGCAACAACAAUCCAUACUGCCAGACUAUGAAGCCAUGGCAGAAUGAAAACCUUACAGAAUGAAGGGUUGAAAAGUUCAAUAUUAAACUUGAAACAUGUAUUUAAAUUUUUAAGGUGUUUAGCGGUUUGCAAUCAUUUAUUUGUAUUAUUCUCACAAAAACAGGUAACUAGCGUAACCAAAUCUAUUUAUUUUCCAUUCACAUGAUGGACCCACCAAAGAAACAGUCGAACGGUAUGACAAGAAAACAAAUGGGACAUUUAUUAAAGUGAGCAAACAAAGUAACUUUCCUUGCCUGAAUAAACA